rnacentral:tRNA from 1 species
GGCCCCAUGGUGUAACGGUUAGCACUCUGGACUCUGAAUCCGGCGAUCUGAGUUCAAAUCUCGGUGGGACCU